rnacentral:rRNA from 1 species
CGGAAUUGCUAGUAAUGGCAGGUCAGCAUACUGCCGUGAAUACGUUCCCGGGCCUUGUACACACCGCCCGUCACACCAUGAGAGUUGGGAAUACCCGAAGCCUGUGAGCCAACAAACGAGGCAGCAGUCGAAGGUAGAAUCAAUGAUUGGGGUGAAGUCGUAACAAGGUAGC